rnacentral:rRNA from 1 species
UACGAAGGGGGGCUAGCGUUGCUCGGAAUCACUGGGCGUAAAGCGCACGUAGGCGGCUUUUCUAAGUCAGGGGGUGAAAUCCUGGAGCUCAACUCCAGAACUGCCUUUGAUACUGGAGAGCUUGAGUCCGGAAGAGGUGAGUGGAACUCCGAGUGUAGAGGUGAAAUUCGUAGAUAUUCGGAAGAACACCAGUGGCGAAGGCGGCUCACUGGUCCGGUACUGACGCUGAGGUGCGAAAGCGUGGGGAGCAAACAGG